rnacentral:rRNA from 1 species
AGCGAACGCUGGCAGCAGGCCUAACACAUGCAAGUCGAACGAACCUUUCGGGGUUAGUGGCGGACGGGUGAGUAACACGUGGGAACGUGCCUUUAGGUUCGGAAUAACUCAGGGAAACUUGUGCUAAUACCGAAUGUGCCCUUCGGGGGAAAGAUUAAUCGCCUUUAGAGCGGCCCGCGUCUGAUUAGCUAGUUGGUUGAGGUAAUGGCUCACCAAGGCGACGAUCAGUAGCUGGUCUGAGAGGAUGAUCAGCCACAUUGGGACUGAGACACGGCCCAAACUCCUACGGGAGGCAGCAGUGGGGAAUCUUGCGCAAUGGGCGAAAGCCUGACGCAGCCAUGCCGCGUGAAUGAUGAAGGUCUUAGGAUUGUAAAAUUCUUUCACCGGGGACGAUAAUGACGGUACCCGGAGAAGAAGCCCCGGCUAACUUCGU